rnacentral:misc_RNA from 1 species
UCCGGCUUGUCGCCGGCGGUCCCUCUAGAGUGCCCAACUGAAUGAUGGCAACUAAAGGCGAGGGUUGCGCUCGUUGCGGGACUUAACCCAACAUCUCACGACACGAGCUGACGACAGCCAUGCAGCACCUGUCUCUGCGUCCCUUGCGGGAAAGCUCCUAUUAAGGAGCGGUCGCAGGAUGUCAAACCCUGGUAAGGUUCUGCGCGUUGCGUCGAAUUAAACCACAUGCUCCGCUGCUUGUGCGGGCCCCCGUCGAUUCCUUUGAGUUUUAGCCUUGCGGCCGUACUCCCCAGGCGGGGUGCUUAAUGCGUUAGCUGCGCCACUGAACAGCAAGCUGUCCAACGGCUAGCCUCCAUAGUUUACGGCGUGGACUAC